rnacentral:lncRNA from 1 species
CCACACUGUAAUGCCCCUUCUCAGUAAUUCCCUGUUGCAGCUACCUCACACUGUAAUGCCUCUUCUCAGUAAUUCCCCAGUGCAGCUGCCUCACAUUGUAAUGUCCAUUCUCAGUGAUGCGAACUGUAAUGCCUUACAUUGUAAUGCCCCUUCUCAGUAAUUCCCCGCUACAGUUGCCUCACAUUCUAAUGCCCCUUCUCAAUGAUGCAAACUGUAAUGCCCCA